GAAACCGAUUCUGGAUUUAUGACCUUCAUAACUGUAAGGGAAUCAAUGCGUGCUUUGUUUAAGCUAUCAAGUCUGCAGUAACUAUUGCGGCAGCCAUAGGAGACUCCUACAGGUGGGAGGACGCGGACAGUGUCACCAAAAAUGGCCCCACAGCUUGACCUCUUGUCUUUCUGUGUAAACGAAAACAACACCUUACGUUUUCUCAGGUCUGCAAUCAGAUUCAGGCAAUUUCAGGGGAGGAAACUAUAAUGAAAAUGCAGCUUCGGUAACAUCACCAACUCUGAUGAGAUACAUCUUUUAUGCUGUUUCUAGUAGGAUAAUUUGUUAAUGGACAAACUCAUAAUGUUGAUAGUAUCAAAGAUUAUUUCUACAAAGUCAAACAGAAUAACCCUGUUGGUGUUCAUGAUGGAAUAAAUUGAGAUUUUCAAGCAAUAAAUUGAAAUUUUCAAUCUAAAGUAUCUCAUGUGAGAAAGGGAGCUGAGCAGCUGAGUAAAUAUCCGCUGUCAAAAGUGUGCACAUCAGUGUUUUGGUGUCUUGCUGCACUGUGACAGGCAAAAAAAUUAAAAGAUUGUGAAAAGAAAAAAAUGGACUUCUAAGGUUUAUGCAUAGUGUCUUCAUUAAAAAGUGAC